rnacentral:rRNA from 1 species
GAGGAAAGAGGGAGGAGGGAUGAACACAUGCAAGUCGAACGGAAAGGCCCUGCUUUUGUGGGGUGCUCGAGUGGCGAACGGGUGAGUAACACGUGAGUAACCUGCCCUUGACUUUGGGAUAACUUCAGGAAACUGGGGCUAAUACCGGAUAGGAGCUCCUGCUGCAUGUUGGGGGUUUUAAAUUUUCGGCGUUUUUUGAUGGACUCUCUUCUUAUCGUCUUGUUUUUUUGUUAUUGGCUUACCAAGGCUUUGACGGGUAGCCGGCCUGAGAGGGUGACCGGCCACAUUGGGACUGAGAUACGGACCAGACUCCUACGGGAGGCAGCAGUGGGGAAUAUUGCACAAUGGGCGGAAGCCUGAUGCAGCAACGCCGCGUGCGGGAUGACGGCCUUCGGGUUGUAAACCGCUUUCGCCUGUGACGAAGAGUGAGUGACGGUAAUGGGUAAAGAAGCACCGGCUAACUAAGUG